UGUCAUUUUGAAAGUCUUUAAACCCCUGUCCCAUAACGUUUUAUGGAAAUUGGAUAACUAUGCCUUCAGAGAUUAAGAUUCUUAAAUAAUAAAAUGGUAAAUACAAUCUAACCUUAAUGUAACAUCAUAAAAUAAAAUUAUUCGUAACUCAAAGUCUGCAAUUAAAACAUUUAGCAAUGAGUGCCGGAGAACCGUUUAUUGGAAUGCCAAUGUUUGGUGAGCAGUGGAACAGCUCAGAUAAAUGUAUGCAUCAAAAAAUCGAUCCAAAGCUUAACUUAAAUACAUUAACAGAAGAAAAGUUUGAUACUGCGUUAAAAACCCUUCUAAAUGACAAUAGAUAUCGAAAAAAUAUUGUAACGUUACGUCAAAUGAUGUUCGAGCGGACGGAAAAGCCUAUUGACCGUGCAAUAUGGUGGUCAGAGAGUGUUAUAAGAAACGGCGGAGCGCGCCAUCUAGCGCCGUCUAGUACCAACAUCUUUGGCGCUCAAUAUCUACAAUCACAACCUGUAUUCGUAUCACUUACUGCACUCUUCACCCUCAUUGUACUCUUUGUAGUUUGUGCCGUUAUUAAAACGAAAAAAUCUUAAGUAUAAGUGCCAACUGUAAUUUUUAAAUAAUAUCGGAGUCUUACUGUUCUCGUCUAAUUGUCUCAUGCUCAAUCUCAAUAUGUAGUUUUUGUGGUUGUACUAUUUUAUAGUUUUUGAUAUUCACAAUAAUUUUGCUUGUUCAUUUAUUUGGCAAUGGCUCAAAAUGUAGUUAGUAUUUGUUAUUUAGUUUGGACUCAAUUUUCAUAAGUCUCCUUUUAGUUUUUUCUUUUUAUAUUCCGAUUAUUCAACUGAAAUACUUACCAUCAAAAAACAAAAAGAAGUUUUAUUUUGUUUACUUUGCAAAAUUAUGAUAUAAAAUGUCGGUUAGCUGCAGUAGUCAUGUUAUAACCGAGCUAUUUAUUAUAUCCUUCAAUAAUCAAAACGCUUAUCAUGUCCGAUUUAUCUAUUAUAACCUUAAUGGAUUUCCGACCGCCCGCCGACUGCUGCUACUACUUCGUAUUUAAAUCAAACUGUUUAUUUGUUAAUUUACUCUAUUUAAAAUAAAGUUUAGUUUAUUAAAAUAAAUAGACCGCGGUAUCAUACCACUUAUGAUAAACUAGCUAUUGCCCGUGACUCCAUCCGCGCGGUAUUAAAAAAAAGUUAAUAAGA